UGGGGAAUCUUGGACAAUGGGGGCAACCCUGAUCCAGCGAUGCCGCGUGGGUGAAGAAGGCCUUCGGGUUGUAAAGCCCUUUAGGCUGGGAAGAAGAGUGCGGGGUGAAUAAUCCUGUACUUUGACGGUACCAGCAGAAUAAGCACCGGCAAACUCUGUGCCAGCAGCCGCGGUAAUACAGAGGGUGCAAGCGUUAAUCGGAUUUACUGGGCGUAAAGGGCGCGUAGGCGGUGAUGUGAGUGUGAUGUGAAAGCCCCGGGCUUAACCUGGGAAGUGCAUCGCAAACGACAUGACUGGAGUAGAUGAGAGGGUGGCGGAAUUUCCGGUGUAGCGGUGAAAUGCGUAGAGAUCGGAAGGAACGUCAAUGGCGAAGGCAGCCACCUGGCAUCAUACUGACGCUGAGGCGCGAAAGCGUGGGGAGCGAACA
rnacentral:rRNA from 1 species